rnacentral:rRNA from 1 species
UACGUAGGGGCGAAGCGUUAUCCGGAAUUACUGGGUGUAAAGGGUACGUAGGCGGCCCAUUAAGUCAGACGUGAAAGACCCGGACGCUCAACUCCGGGAUUGCAUUUGAAACUGGUGGGCUAGAGUACAGGAGAGGAAAGUGGAAUUCCUAGUGUAGCGGUGAAAUGCGUAGAUAUUAGGAAGAACACCAGUGGCGAAGGCGGCUUUCUGGACUGUAACUGACGCUGAGGUACGAAAGCGUGGGGAGCGAACAGG